CCGAGUUUACAACUCCCAAACCCCUGUGAACAUACCACUUGUUGCCUCGGCGGAUCAGCCCGCUCCCGGUAAAACGGGACGGCCCGCCAGAGGACCCCUAAACUCUGUUUCUAUAUGUAACUUCUGAGUAAAACCAUAAAUAAAUCAAAACUUUCAACAACGGAUCUCUUGGUUCUGGCAUCGAUGAAGAACGCAGCAAAAUGCGAUAAGUAAUGUGAAUUGCAGAAUUCAGUGAAUCAUCGAAUCUUUGAACGCACAUUGCGCCCGCCAGUAUUCUGGCGGGCAUGCCUGUUCGAGCGUCAUUUCAACCCUCAAGCCCUCGGGUUUGGUGUUGGGGAUCGGCGAGCCCUUGCGGCAAGCCGGCCCCGAAAUCUAGUGGCGGUCUCGCUGCAGCCUCCAUUGCGUAGUAGUAAAACCCUCGCAACUGGAACGCGGCGCGGCCAAGCCGUUAAACCCCCAACUUCUGAAU
rnacentral:misc_RNA from 1 species